AUUGAACGCUGGCGGCAGGCUUAACACAUGCAAGUCGAGCGGGGUGAUGGUGCUUGCACUAUCACUAGCGGCGGACGGGUGAGUAAUGCUUAGGAAUCUGCCUAUUAGGGGGGGACAACAUCUCGAAAGGGAUGCUAAUACCGCAUACGUCCUACGGGAGAAAGCAGGGGAUCUUUAUGACCUUGCGCUAAUAGAUGAGCCUAAGUCGGAUUAGCUAGUUGGUGGGGUAAAGGCCUACCAAGGCGACGAUCUGUAGCGGGUCUGAGAGGAUGAUCCGCCACACUGGGACCGAGACACGGCCCAGACUCCUACGGGAGGCAGCAGUGGGGAAUAUUGGACAAUGGGGGGAACCCUGAUCCAGCCAUGCCGCGUGUGUGAAGAAGGCCUUAUGGUUGUAAAGCACUUUAAGCGAGGAGGAGGCUCUUUUGGUUAAUACCCAGAAUGAGUGGACGUUACUCGCAGAAUAAGCACCGGCUAACUCUGUGCCAGCCGCCGCCGUAAAAC
rnacentral:rRNA from 1 species